GAUCCUGGCUCAGGAUGAACGCUAGCUACAGGCUUAACACAUGCAAGUCGAGGGGGCGAGCAUGAACUUAGCUUGCUAAGUUUGAUGGCGACCGGCGCACGGGUGAGUAACGCGUAUCCAACCUACCCUUGUCCAUCGGAUAACCCGUCGAAAGGCGGCCUAACACGAUAUGCGGUUCACCGCAGGCAUCUAACGUGAACGAAAUGUGAAGGAGAAGGAUGGGAUGCGUCUGAUUAGG
rnacentral:rRNA from 1 species